rnacentral:ncRNA from 2 species
GCGUAUCUUCCUCCGGCGGGUGUAAGGGAAGCGGGUGCAAAUCCCGCGCGGUCCCGCCCACUGUGACCGGGAGCUCGCCGCCCACUAUCCAAGCCACUGGGCUUUAUGCCUGGGAAGGCCGGGCGGAGGCGAGGAACGGGAGCCAGGAGACCUGCCCGCCGGGAAGGUAUUCC